GUCUUCGUGGCUCAGUUGGUUAGAGCGCCGGUCUCAUACUACAACAAAGGGGGGAUGUUAUAGUCCCUCCCUACUACGUGUGAAACAGCCUAUAGGCUGGGAUAUCCGGAGAUCGCCAGUUCGAUCCUGGCCGAGGACA